rnacentral:rRNA from 1 species
AGACGACGACGGGUAGCCGGCCUGAGAGGGCGACCGGCCACACUGGGACUGAGACACGGCCCAGACCCUACGGGAGGCAGCAGUGGGGAAUAUUGCACAAUGGGGGAAACCCUGAUGCAGCGACGCAGCGUGCGGGAUGACGGCCUUCGGGUUGUAAACCGCUUUCAGCAGGGAAGAAGCGCAAGUGACGGUACCUGCAGAAGAAGUACCGGCUAACUACGUGCCAGCAGCCGCGGUAAUACGUAGGGUACGAGCGUUGUCCGGAAUUAUUGGGCGUAAAGAGCUCGUAGGUGGUUGGUCACGUCUGCUGUGGAAACGCAACGCUUAACGUUGCGCGUGCAGUGGGUACGGGCUGACUAGAGUGCAGUAGGGGAGUCUGGAAUUCCUGGUGUAGCGGUGAAAUGCGCAGAUAUCAGGAGGAACACCGGUGGCGAAGGCGGGACUCUGGGCUGUAACUGACACUGAGGAGCGAAAGCAUGGGGAGCGAACAGGAUUAGAUACCCUGGUAGUCCAUGCCGUAAACGUUGGGCACUAGGUGUGGGGGGCAUUCCACGUUCUCCGCGCCGUAGCUAACGCAUUAAGUGCCCCGCCUGGGGARUACGG